GAACAAUGCCUCGAAGGAUCCACGGUCAUUGGGCCACUUUCGGUCGCUCUCGUGGAGCGUUUCACGGUCGUGGUCGGCCGCGAGGCAGCUGCAAUCGAUUGGUAACAAUUUAGUGGCCCCUAAAGCGACUGAGCUUUUGACUACCAAUGGGCUUGCAGUUCCUAUCUUUACCAUGAACAUGGUGUUAUUGUUUGUAAUGUGGGCGCUUGUGGCGGCUAUUCCUUGCCAGGAUCGUGGCUUGCAGGUUCAUUUCUCUUUGCCUCGAAAUUUCCCAUGGGCAGCUCCAAUCCUUCAACUACAUGAUCGAAUUGUGGAGGAGUCCAAGAAGCGAGAUCGAAGAAAUUCCUGUGGGCUGUUGAAGGAGAUUAAUCAGAUUGAAAAGUGCACGCGUCUCAUGAAUGAUUUGGCAGAUUCAGCUCAGUUCCCAUUGGCAGAGGAGAAAGAAGCAGAGCUGAGACAGAGAGUACAAGAGCUAACCACAGUUUGUGAUACUCUUAGGACUGGAUUGGACUCGUUGGAGCGGCAGGUGAGGGAAGUUUUUCACAGGAUUGUUCGUAGCAGGACUGAAGGGCUUGACUCUUUGGGACGAGCGAAUCACUCUGAAUAGAAUUGUUGGGAGUUUCAGAACAUGUUCUACA
rnacentral:misc_RNA from 1 species